AGAAUCAACGCUGGCGGCGUGCCUAACACAUGCAAGUCGCACGAGAAAGGGUAGCAAUACCUGAGUACAGUGGCGCACGGGUGAGUAACACGUGAAUCAUCUACCUCCGAGUGGGGAAUAACUGAGAGAAAUCUUAGCUAAUACCGCAUAAUACCCACGGGUCAAAGCAGCAAUGCGCUUGGAGAGGAGUUCGCGGCAGAUUAGUUAGUUGGCGGGGUAAUGGCCCACCAAGACGAUGAUCUGUAUCCGGCCUGAGAGGGCGCACGGACACACUGGAACUGAAACACGGUCCAGACUCCUACGGGAGGCAGCAGUGGGGAAUUUUGCGCAAUGGGGGAAACCCUGACGCAGCAACGCCGCGUGGAGGAUGAAGCCCCUUGGGGUGUAAACUCCUUUCGAUCGGGAAGAUAAUGACGGUACCGAUAUAAGAAGCCCCGGCUAACUUCGCGCCAGCAGCCGC
rnacentral:rRNA from 1 species